ACUCCUACGGGAGGCAGCAGUGGGGAAUCUUGGACAAUGGGCGCAAGCCCGAUCCAGCCAUGCCGCGUGAGUGAAGAAGGCCUUCGGGUUGUAAAGCUCUUUUGUCAGGGACGAUAAUGACGGUACCUGAAGAAUAAGCCCCGGCAAACUUCGUGCCAGCAGCCGCGGUAAU
rnacentral:rRNA from 1 species